CUCUAUACGGAGUUACAAAGGACGACAUUAGACGAAUCAUCUGGAAAGAUGAAUCAAAGAAGGUAAUAAUCCUGUAGUCGAAAAUGUUGUCUCUCUUGAGUGGAUCCUGAGUACGACGGAGCACGUGAAAUUCCGUCGGAAUCUGGGAGGACCAUCUCCUAAGGCUAAAUACUCUCUAGUGACCGAUAGUGAACCAGUACCGUGAGGGAAAGGUGAAAAGCACCCCGGAAGGGGAGUGAAAUAGAACCUGAAACCGUGUGCUUACAAGUAGUCAGAGCCCGUUAAUGGGUGAUGGCGUGCCUUUUGUAGAAUGAACCGGCGAGUUACGAUUUGAUGCAAGGUUAAGCAGUAAAUGUGGAGCCGUAGCGAAAGCGAGUCUGAAUAGGGCGUUUAGUAUUUGGUCGUAGACCCGAAACCAGGUGAUCUACCCUUGGUCAGGUUGAAGUUCAGGUAACACUGAAUGGAGGACCGAACCGACUUACGUUGAAAAGUGAGCGGAUGAACUGAGGGUAGCGGAGAAAUUCCAAUCGAACCUGGAGAUAGCUGGUUCUCUCCGAAAUAGCUUUAGGGCUAGCCUCAAGUGAUGAUUAUUGGAGGUAGAGCACUGUUUGGACGAGGGGCCCCUCUCGGGUUACCGAAUUCAGACAAACUCCGAAUGCCAAUUAAUUUAACUUGGGAGUCAGAACAUGGGUGAUAAGGUCCGUGUUCGAAAGGGAAACAGCCCAGACCACCAGCUAAGGUCCCAAAAUAUAUGUUAAGUGGAAAAGGAUGUGGCGUUGCCCAGACAACUAGGAUGUUGGCUUAGAAGCAGCCAUCAUUUAAAGAGUGCGUAAUAGCUCACUAGUCGAGUGACACUGCGCCGAAAAUGUACCGGGGCUAAACAUAUUACCGAAGCUGUGGAUUGUCCUUUGGACAAUGGUAGGAGAGCGUUCUAAGGGCGUUGAAGCAUGAUCGUAAGGACAUGUGGAGCGCUUAGAAGUGAGAAUGCCGGUGUGAGUAGCGAAAGACGGGUGAGAAUCCCGUCCACCGAUUGACUAAGGUUUCCAGAGGAAGGCUCGUCCGCUCUGGGUUAGUCGGGUCCUAAGCUGAGGCCGACAGGCGUAGGCGAUGGAUAACAGGUUGAUAUUCCUGUACCACCUAUAAUCGUUUUAAUCGAUGGGGGGACGCAGUAGGAUAGGCGAAGCGUGCGAUUGGAUUGCACGUCUAAGCAGUAAGGCUGAGUAUUAGGCAAAUCCGGUACUCAUUAAGGCUGAGCUGUGAUGGGGAGAAGACAUUGUGUCUUCGAGUCGUUGAUUUCACACUGCCGAGAAAAGCCUCUAGAUAGAAAAUAGGUGCCCGUACCGCAAACCGACACAGGUAGUCAAGAUGAGAAUUCUAAGGUGAGCGAGCGAACUCUCGUUAAGGAACUCGGCAAAAUGACCCCGUAACUUCGGGAGAAGGGGUGCUCUUUAGGGUUAACGCCCAGAAGAGCCGCAGUGAAUAGGCCCAAGCGACUGUUUAUCAAAAACACAGGUCUCUGCUAAACCGUAAGGUGAUGUAUAGGGGCUGACGCCUGCCCGGUGCUGGAAGGUUAAGAGGAGUGGUUAGCUUCUGCGAAGCUACGAAUCGAAGCCCCAGUAAACGGCGGCCGUAACUAUAACGGUCCUAAGGUAGCGAAAUUCCUUGUCGGGUAAGUUCCGACCCGCACGAAAGGCGUAACGAUUUGGGCACUGUCUCAACGAGAGACUCGGUGAAAUCAUAGUACCUGUGAAGAUGCAGGUUACCCGCGACAGGACGGAAAGACCCCGUGGAGCUUUACUGUAGCCUGAUAUUGAAAUUCGGCACAGCUUGUACAGGAUAGGUAGGAGCCUUUGAAACGUGAGCGCUAGCUUACGUGGAGGCGCUGGUGGGAUACUACCCUAGCUGUGUUGGCUUUCUAACCCGCACCACUUAUCGUGGUGGGAGACAGUGUCAGGCGGGCAGUUUGACUGGGGCGGUCGCCUCCUAAAAGGUAACGGAGGCGCUCAAAGGUUCCCUCAGAAUGGUUGGAAAUCAUUCAUAGAGUGUAAAGGCAUAAGGGAGCUUGACUGCGAGACCUACAAGUCGAGCAGGGUCGAAAGACGGACUUAGUGAUCCGGUGGUUCCGCAUGGAAGGGCCAUCGCUCAACGGAUAAAAGCUACCCCGGGGAUAACAGGCUUAUCUCCCCCAAGAGUUCACAUCGACGGGGAGGUUUGGCACCUCGAUGUCGGCUCAUCGCAUCCUGGGGCUGUAGUCGGUCCCAAGGGUUGGGCUGUUCGCCCAUUAAAGCGGUACGCGAGCUGGGUUCAGAACGUCGUGAGACAGUUCGGUCCCUAUCCGUCGUGGGCGUAGGAAAUUUGAGAGGAGCUGUCCUUAGUACGAGAGGACCGGGAUGGACAUACCUCUGGUGUACCAGUUGUCGUGCCAACGGCAUAGCUGGGUAGCUAUGUGUGGACGGGAUAAGUGCUGAAAGCAUCUAAGCAUGAAGCCCCCCUCAAGAUGAGAUUUCCCAACUUCGGUUAUAAGAUCCCUCAAAGAUGAUGAGGUUAAUAGGUUCGAGGUGGAAGCAUGGUGACAUGUGGAGCUGACGAAUACUAAUCGAUCGAAGACUUAAUCAA
rnacentral:rRNA from 1 species